UGCGUAGGCGGCUUUGCAAGUCAGAUGUGAAAUCUAUGGGCUCAACCCAUAAACUGCAUUUGAAACUGUAGAGCUUGAGUGAAGUAGAGGCAGGCGGAAUUCCCCGUGUAGCGGUGAAAUGCGUAGAGAUGGGGAGGAACACCAGUGGCGAAGGCGGCCUGCUGGGUCUUUAACUGACGCUGGAGGCAACGAAAGCGUGGUAGCAAACA
rnacentral:rRNA from 1 species